UACGGAGGGUGCAAGCGUUAAUCGGAAUUACUGGGCGUAAAGCGCACGCAGGUGGCUGUGUAAGUCGGAUGUGAAAGCCCUGGGCUUAACCUGGGAACUGCAUUCGAUACUGCAUAGCUAGAGUAUGGGAGAGGAAAGUGGAAUUCCCGGUGUAGCAGUGAAAUGCGUAGAUAUCGGGAGGAACACCAGUGGCGAAGGCGGCUUUCUGGCCCAAUACUGACACUCAUGUGCGACAGCGUGGGGAGCAAACAGGAUUA
rnacentral:rRNA from 1 species